AACCUUCCUUCCAGAAUGGUUCCUCCCUUCCUUCUACAAAGUGCCUCCCUCCCCCUUCCCUCCUCUGCAUGACCCUGCUCUCCCUGGAUGCAGAGUGGAUGAAGACCUUGUCAUAUCCACAGAGAGGCAGAGAUCCAACAACAGGCCUUGAGAAAUCCACAAGGCAUCUGGAAUCUUAGCUCCUCAACCAGGGAUCGAACCUACACUCCUGCCCUGGAAGGUCCGGCUGAACAGGAAGAACCUCAAUAUACAGAGGAAGAAUUAAAAAGAUAAAGAAAAGAGGAGCAAAGAUUACUGGAAAAGGAUGGAUACAGUCUGAGGAUGGAAGAUUAGUAAUUCCUGAAAAUGAGCAAUGAAAAAUUCUUAAAGGCUUACACCCAGAGCUUUCCUAAAGCCUUGGAAUUAACUAACUAUGUAACUCAACUUUUAGCUUUUCAACAGACAUUACAGGAACUCUGGGAGGCGACUUCUUACCCAGCCUCUGAGUCAAACAAUGCUGUUUGAGCCAGGAACCAAGAUUCUGUUAAUAAAGACAUUGGGACCUGAGGGUCAAUCUCUCAAGCCCCUCUGGGAAGGUCCUUACCAGAUGGGCCUCGCAAUCUAUGUGGGCCUGCUUUUGCUGAUUCCAAAAAUCCUGAGUUUGCCGUUUGACCCUCAAGACAAUGCCUUCCUGUCCUGGGCUCAUUUCUACACCUCAUUCCACAAUCUGUCCAAUUGCUGGGUCUGUAGAGUGCUCCCCUCCUCAUCAAUGGAAGGCUUCCCAUGGUAGACAUCUCCACUUCAGGGAAAGGACUUUUUCCAAGUCCAUGACUACCUGUGCCAACAAUCAUAUGUGAUGUCUCUUCUUAAUCUAAUGUCAUCUAACGGUCCUAAAAUGGACUGGUGUAACACUUUGUACCUUUAUGGACAUAAUGUGACUUUUAAUUUUGCUGAUUGUUCUGUUUUUGCUGUUUACUCCCUACACCUGUAACUGUGUAGCUGGAUUUGUUUCUAGCUGCAUGAAGUUAUGGUUAUUCAGUCUCCUAUGAGUACCACAGCCUCCUCCAACUAUUACCUGGGGUCCCUGAAUCAGAGACCCUCAAUAGAAGGCUUAGGAGUAUCUCUUUACUUGCUAAGUCAUGUCUGACUCUUGCAAUCCCAUGGACUGUAGCCUGCCAGGCUCCUCUGUCCAUGGCAUUCUCCAGGCAACAAUACUGGAGUGGGUUACCAUUUCCUUCUCCAGGGGAUCUUCCUGACCCAGGAAUCGAACCCAGGGCUGCUGCAUUGCAGGCAGAUUCUUUACCAAAUGAGCUUUUAUGCCUCAAUAAUUUAGGGACAACACCCCUUACCAGCUCAGAAGCAGUUAUGGAAUGAGAACACCGCCCCUUUCCCUUGGCAACAUAAUUCUCCUAAGAGAAAAUGGGAAAAUGAGAGCGUUAAUAUCCUUGGUAGGGAGGCCAGAGGUCCCCAAGUGGCAGGAGGAAAUAAAACUUCAAGUGGUAGACAUUUUUUUUUUCUUCUAAUCCUGUGUUGUCAUGGCGACACCUGGUUCCUCUGGAACCUAACUUUAUCUCCAACCUUGAGCUAACCACUGCGUUUUUCUUAUGGAAAUAUUUUGUUAAGCUAUGUUAAUGACCUAUGUAUUGGCUUGGAAAUCUGCCUCUCUUCAAGAUUCCUGUCAAGUGUUUUACAGCCCGAGGAUGACUCCUGCUGUGCCAACGCUCUCUCAAAAUGUAUAUGUUGUUGGUGAGGGGCCUGGUGCGACUCUCUCAGUUUUGAGGUAUUUCCUUUCUCUAAUUAGCAGCUUGCUAAUAGAUAUAUAACUCCUUGCUAAAAACAAGCAAGGGGGCACUCUUUCUGUCCCCUUCUGAUGUCUAUGUUAGAAGCUUUCUCUAUCUCUUUUAUAAACUUUAAUAAAACUUUAUUACACAAAAAGUUUUAAGUGAUCAAGCCUCAUCACUAGCCCUGGAUUGAAUUCCUCUUCUCCAGAUGCCAAGAAUUCCAGCAUCAUUCAUGUCUCGUAGCAGCAACAUUUCAGUUAUAAUUAUUGAAAUGGUGGGU